rnacentral:rRNA from 1 species
AUUGAACGCUGGCGGCAGGCCUAACACAUGCAAGUCGAGCGGAAACGAGUUAUCUGAACCUUCGGGGAACGAUAACGGCGUCGAGCGGCGGACGGGUGAGUAAUGCCUAGGAAAUUGCCCUGAUGUGGGGGAUAACCAUUGGAAACGAUGGCUAAUACCGCAUGAUGCCUACGGGCCAAAGAGGGGGACCUUCGGGCCUCUCGCGUCAGGAUAUGCCUAGGUGGGAUUAGCUAGUUGGUGAGGUAAGGGCUCACUAAGGCGACGAUCCCUAGCUGGUCUGAGAGGAUGAUCAGCCACACUGGAACUGAGACACGGUCCAGACUCCUACGGGAGGCAGCAGUGGGGAAUAUUGCACAAUGGGCGCAAGCCUGAUGCAGCCAUGCCGCGUGUAUGAAGAAGGCCUUCGGGUUGUAAAGUACUUUCAGUCGUGAGGAAGGCGGCGUCGUUAAUAGCGGCGUUGUUUGACGUUAGCGACAGAAGAAGCACCGGCUAACUCCGUGCCAGCAGCCGCGGUAAUACGGAGGGUGCGAGCGUUAAUCGGAAUUACUGGGCGUAAAGCGCAUGCAGGUGGUUUGUUAAGUCAGAUGUGAAAGCCCGGGGCUCAACCUCGGAAUAGCAUUUGAAACUGGCAGACUAGAGUACUGUAGAGGGGGGUAGAAUUUCAGGUGUAGCGGUGAAAUGCGUAGAGAUCUGAAGGAAUACCGGUGGCGAAGGCGGCCCCCUGGACAGACACUGACACUCAGAUGCGAAAGCGUGGGGAGCAAACAGG